GGGCUCCUGGAAUAGACACAUGGAGAAAAGAAGGCAAAAGGCUACAGAAAGGGAUUUGGUCUCUGAGAAAAUUCCCCUCUCUGGAUUCCCAGGCCUUCUCUAAUGGAAGCAUUUGGAGUCUGAGUUCUUAUGACACCUGCCCCGAGGAUAAACUUUUCCACUGAAGCACAUCCCAGUACUGCUGACCUAUCUGAGAGAAUGAAGAUGUGAUGCUUGGAACUACCACAGCCACCUUGGGACCAUGCAGGAAGUCAACACCAACAUGCUGAGGAUCUUUGAGCUGCUGUACCAACCUAAAACCACCUCUCUCCAGACUUCUUGUUGCAUUAGAAAGUUAAUUGUCUUUACUUUUAAAAUGAUUGUCAGUUGGCAUUUUUGUUACCUGUUGUCAAAAGCAUCAUAAUUAUUACAUCUAACUAAAUUAUAUGCCAUCUACUGUGGCAUAUAG